UACGGGGGGGGCAAGCGUUGUUCGGAAUUACUGGGCGUAAAGGGCUCGUAGGCGGCCAACUAAGUCAAACGUGAAAUCCCUCGGCUUAACCGGGGAACUGCGCUUGAUACUGGAUGGCUUGAGAUUGGGAGAGGGAUGCGGAAUUCCUGGUGUAGCAGUGAAAUGCGUAGAUAUCAGGAGGGACACCGAUGGCGAAGGCAGGUCUCUGGGCUGACACUGACGCUCAUGCACGAAAGCGUGGGGAGCAAACAGG
rnacentral:rRNA from 1 species